CCUACGGGAGGCAGCAGUGAGGAAUAUUGGUCAAUGGACGAGAGUCUGAACCAGCCAAGUAGCGUGAAGGAUGACUUCCCUAUGGGUUGUAAACUUCUUUUAUAUGGGAAUAAAAUGUUCCACGUGUGGCAUUUUGUAUGUACCAUAUGAAUAAGCAUCGGCUAACUCCGUGCCAGCAGCCGCGGUAAUACGGAGGAUCCGAGCGUUAUCCGGAUUUACUGGGUGUAAAGGGAGCGUAGACGGUUAGCCAAGUAUGGAGUGAAAUUCCGAGGCUUAACUGCAGAACUACUUUGGAAACUGGCGAACUAGAGUGCGGGAGGGGUAAGCGGAAUUCCUAGUGUAGCGGUGAAAUGCGUAGAUAUUAGGAGGAACACCGAUUGCGAAGGCAGCGUACCGGCGCCAGACUGACGCUGAGGCACGAAAGCGUGGGGAGCGAACAGGAUUAGAUACCCUUGUAGUC
rnacentral:rRNA from 1 species